AAGCUCGAUAUGAUGAGACACCUUGAUUAUUUACCUAGGUACCGGCAGCAGAUGAUAGCACUUGAGGUUAUGAAACUACAUGCUCCUCUAGCGCAUGCCAUCGGAACUAACCUAUUAUCUCUUGAACUCGAGGAUCUUUCUUUUAGGUACUUGUUUCCUUACUCAUAUCUAUAUCUUGAUGCAUGGUUGAGAAGUCACGAGUCUGGAAAUAAGCCUCUGAUAGAUAUCUGCAAGGAGCAGCUGCUUCAGUCCCUCAAAUCUGAUCCACCAUUAAAUGAAAUGGUGAGUAAGAUAUCUG
rnacentral:misc_RNA from 1 species